AACGAACGCUGGCGGCAUGCCUAACACAUGCAAGUCGAACGAACCCUUCGGGGUUAGUGGCGCACGGGUGCGUAACGCGUGGGGAUCUGCCCUUUGCUUCGGAAUAACAGUUAGAAAUGACUGCUAAUACCGGAUGAUGUCGAAAGACCAAAGAUUUAUCGGCAAAGGAUGAACCCGCGUAGGAUUAGCUAGUUGGUGGGGUAAAGGCCUACCAAGGCGACGAUCCUUAGCUGGUCUGAGAGGAUGAUCAGCCACACUGGGACUGAGACACGGCCCAGACUCCUACGGGAGGCAGCAGUGGGGAAUAUUGGACAAUGGGCGAAAGCCUGAUCCAGCAAUGCCGCGUGAGUGAUGAAGGCCUUAGGGUUGUAAAGCUCCUUUACCAGGGAUGAUAAUGACAGUACCUGGAGAAUAAGCUCCGGCUAACUCCGUGCCAGCAGCCGCAGUAA
rnacentral:rRNA from 1 species